UCCCUUGUAGUUCAGCUGGUAAAGAAUCUGCCUGCAAUGCAGGAGACCCUGGUUUGAUUCCUGGGUGGGGAA
rnacentral:tRNA from 1 species